rnacentral:tRNA from 1 species
GGGAGUAUAUCUCAGUGGUAGAGUGCAUGCUUAACAUGCAUGAGGUCCUGGGUUCAAUCCCCAGUGCCUCCA